rnacentral:misc_RNA from 1 species
UGCAAUUGUUCAAGUCUUCUCAGGAGCUUGCGGCAAAGCUCGAUGCGCUUAGCAAAUCUCAGGCGAUCAUCGAGUUUAACCUCGAUGGCACGAUCGUGACCGCGAAUCCGAAUUUCCUAACUGCCAUGGGUUACCGGCUGGACGAAAUUCAGGGCAAACACCACAGCAUGUUUGUCGACCCCGAACUGCGCGACCGGCCCGAAUAUCGCGAAUUCUGGGACGCGCUGCGCCGGGGAGAGCACCAGUCGCGCGAGUUUCCCCGCAUCGCCAAGGGCGGGCGCCAGAUCUGGAUCCAGGCGUCGUACAACCCGCUGAUGGGCCGCGGCG